rnacentral:rRNA from 1 species
AGUACCUGAAACCGUUGGUCUACAAACAGUCAAAGCAGACUUGUUCUGCGAUGGCGUGCCUUUUGAAGAAUGAGCCAACGAGUUACGGUGUGUGGCAAGGUUAACCCGAUGAGGGGAAGCCGGAGCGAAAGCGAGUCUGAACAGGGCGUUCAGUCGCAUGCCGUAGACCCGAAGCCGAGUGAGCUAUCCAUGGGCAGUGUGAAGCGGAGGUAAGACUCUGUGGAGGCGCGAACCGACUUCAGUUGAAAAUGGAGCGGAUGACCUGUGGAUAGGGGUGAAAGGCCAAUCAAACUCGGUGAUAGCUGGUUCUCCGCGAAAUGCAUUUAGGUGCAGCGUCGUGCGUUCAACGAUGGGGGUAGAGCACUGAAUGGGCUAGGGGUCCUACAAGACUACCGACCCCAAUCAAACUCCGAAUACCAUCGUUCCAGAGCACGGCAGUGAGACCUCGGGGGAUGAGCUUCGAGGUCGAGAGGGAAACAGCCCAGACCGCCGGCUAAGGUCCCAAAAUCUGAACUAAGUGGUAAACGAUAUGAGAUUGCGAAGACAGCCAGGAGGUUGGCUUGGAAGCAGCCAUCCUUGAAAGAGUGCGUAACAGCUCACUGGUCGAGUGAUCUUGCGCGGACAAUGUAACGGGGCUCAAGUUCAGUACCGAAGCCGCGGAUGCGACUCUUUGAGUCGUGUGGUAGCGGAGCGUCGAGCGUGCAGCGAAGCGGCGGGACAACCCAGCCGUGGAGCGCGUUCGAGUGCGAAUGUUGGCAUGAGUAGCGAAUGAGGGGUGAGAACCCCCUCCGCCGUAUGUCCAAGGGUUCCUGGGCGAGGCCAAUCCUCCCAGGGUGAGUCGGGAGCUAAGGCGAGGCCGAGAGGCGUAGUCGAUGCACAACUGGUUGAUAUUCCAGUACCACCAUGUUCGCGUCCGUCCCAAUACUCUGUUGCUAAGGGGCUGUGUUGACUUCGGUCAACGCGAACCGACCCACAUUGUUGCGGGAAGCUGUAGGGGGACGCAGGAAGGUAGAUGAACCCGGUGAAUGGUAGAACCGGGGUAAGCGUGUAGGAGGAGGACCAGGUAAAUCCGGGCCUCAUAACUCUGAGACGUGAUACCGAGCCGCUUCAGGCGAAGUCAUUGAUCCUAUGCUGCCUAGAAAAGCCCAGCAGCGAGUUGACAUGGUGCCCGUACCCCAAACCAACACAGGUGGACAGGUAGAGCAUACCAAGGCGAGUGGGAUAACUAUGGUUAAGGAACUCGGCAAAUUGCCUCCGUAACUUCGGGAGAAGGCGGACCCCAGUAGCGUGAUGAGACUUGCUCUCUGAGCGUGAAGGGGUGGCACAAAAUUGAGGGAAGCGACUGUUUACCAAAAACACAGCAGCGUGCUAAGCCGUAAGGCGCUGUAUACGCUGUGACUCCUGCCCGGUGCUGGAAGGUUACGGGGAUGGGUUAGUCCUUCGGGACGAAGCUCUGAACCUAAGCCCCAGUAAACGGCGGCCGUAACUAUAACGGUCCUAAGGUAGCGAAAUUCCUUGUCGGGUAAGUUCCGACCUGCACGAAUGGAGUAACGACUUCCCUACUGUCUCUACCAUAGACCCAGCGAAAUUGAAGUACGAGUAAAGAUGCUCGUUAGCUGCAGAAGGACGGAAAGACCCCGUGGACCUUUACUAUAACUUGAUGUUGUGUUUUGUCAC